GGUGUAGGUUUGGGAAACAGUGGAUCAGGACACCCUGUGGAAAUUUAGGUUUUAUUAUGUGUUUAUUAUUUUCUUUGCUGCUAUUAUUCAUGGAUAAACUUGUGGAUUGGGAAUGCUUACCUCUUUAUGACAGGCACCGUAAAUGUCUGUGUCAGCCAUUUAAUUUUCUCUUUCUAGUCCACAGACAUUUCUUUCAGCAACUGAGUCAUUUAAUCGCAAAGAGAGUUUUGUUGCCUUUCAUGUUCUUUGUUGUCAAAACAACCUUGUUUCUUUUUUAUCAGCUAUAGUAUUUAGUUUCACUGCGAUCUCGGGAUGUGUUAUUUGGAAGUGAUGUGGUUACUCAUUUAAGGAUUGACGUGUUAUUUGGAAGUGAGGUGGUUAUUCAUUCGAGGAUUGAAUUCCAUUCCCUUUGACUUGCAUUGUUUGUGUUCAUUGCUAUCAAACAACUUUCUUCAUUUUAAAUGUAUGGAGUCUAUUUUUUUAAGAUGAAAUCCCCACUAAAUGUUUAUGUUUUAUUUUUUCUUUCUUUUUCAUCAUCUCCUAGUUAUUUGUGUUUCUCAUAGGCUUGGUCUCAUCCCUUCGACUUGCAUAUGUUUGUGUUCAUUGCUAUUGAACAACUUUCUUUUUUGCCAUUAGUCUUCUGGAGCUUUGCCAUGAGACUUCUUGAGUUUUGCCGUGAGACUUCUUGAGUUUUGCCGUGAGACUUCUUGAGCUUUGUCACAAGUCUUCUUGAGCUUUGCCACGAGUCUUCUUGAGCUCUGCCAUGAGUCUUCUUGAGCUCGGCAAUGAGUUUUCUUGAGCUUUGUCGUGAAGAAUGUAGGGGUCAGGUUUUGGAAACCGUGGAUGGAGAUGCAGUUAAAGUUUCGGUUUUAUUAUCUUUGCAUUUAUUAUGCUGAUAAAAAAAAUCUUUGCAUUCAUUAUUUUCUUUUUUGAUAUUCUUUUUGCUACUCUGGUGGAGUGGGAGUUCUUGUAAUUGGACCUUUGACUUUGAUGAUUUGAUUAUCUUCUACUUGUGUUGUAGAGAAUUUUGAGCUUUGCCAUUAGUCUUCUUGAGCUUUGCCAUGAGUCUUCUUGAUCUCUGCCUUGAGCCUUCUUGAACUCUGCCAUGAGUCUUCUUGAGCUUUGCCAUGAAUCUUCUUGAGCUUUGUCAUGAAUCUUCUUGAGCUUUUACAUGAAGGAUGUAGGGGUCAGGUUUUGGAAAUAGUGGAUGGAGAUACAGUUAAAGUUUAGGUUUUAUUAUCUUUGCAUUUAUUAUGCUGAUAAAAAAAAUCUUUGCAUUCAUUAUUUUCUUUGCUCCUAUUCUUUUUGCUACUCUUGUGGAGUGGGAGUUUUUGUAAUUGGGCCUUUGACUUUGAUGAUCUGAUUAUCUUCUUCUACUUGUGUUGCAAUGAACACUUACCAUGGAUGUUUGUUGGACAUAUUGUGAAGCUUCAGGUUUUAUUACUUUUCCACUCACUAUUUUUCUUAUGUGCUCGAUUUGGAAUGUGUACAGUUUCUCUUAUUUGUUGGAUAGUUGGAAGGUAUUUCAUUGUAUUGUAUGUAUCUAAGCAAGAGCAAUACUUCUAGGUCCUCCAUCAUCUAACCAUAUUGAUUAUAGUUUUCUUGAAUUCAUUGGCCUAAAAGGAAAGCUAAGCAAUGAAGUUUGGUGUAGGAUGUAAAAAUGGUUGGUGGAAAUUCUGUGAUCAGUGAAGCUAAAUGUUUCUCUCAUUAGGACAUUGUUGUGUUUAACUGAAUUAAUUUUUAACUGGCUAAACUUGUUGGUUUGAUUAUAAUCUUGGUUGUAUUUUGAUGGUGUAUGGUUCUAAGAGGCAUUGUGGGAUUAGCAUGAGACAAGUGUGGUUGGGCUUUACUCUUUUAUUUGAUGGUUUGCUUCUUGGUUUGGAAAGUUCUACUAUUUAAUUUUGAUGACUUCUCUGCAUAAUUCUAUAAUAUAGGUCUGUUGUUCUUUUAAUAGUUUUCCAAAACCUUUUGAUUCAUUAUUCUUGAUCCCAAACAUAGAAUUUUUGCAUGUAAUCUCGUGUGAUCCUAGACAACAAUGUCUCUUACUAUGAUGACGGACAUCAAUGUCUCUUACGCUGAAAUUUUUGAAAUUAGUAUAAGAAUGAUCCUGAAAUUGAAAUUGUUUAAAUGCUUCACUUUUGUUUCAACAAUCUCAUGUGUUUCUCGUUCCUUGAGUUUUGAAAUUUGCAUUUAUUUGUUUGCAACACAUUGAGUCUUUAUUUGAGGUUUCUCUUUCAGUUCAUUAACUCAGCAAGUGAUGGAAUAUAGUGGGACGACUAACAUGUUUAAUCAACCAGUUAUAGAUUUUUUUCUUUUUUUCCUUUAUUGUUUAUUGAGUUGAGUGCUUUGAAAAUAUUUCUGUAACCAAUUGGGAUUGAAAGUCCAGCGUUAUGCCUGGCAUUAGAUAAUUGGACUUCUUUUAUUAGUUAUCCAAACCGUUCAUUUUUUUCAUAUUUGUUCUAUUUGGACAGGAAUUGUAUGCGAGAGAGAUAAUGAAGUUUUGGAGGUGAAUUUGUUAAUUUCAGUUACGACUAUGGAGGAAUUGUAUUUUGGAGGUGAAUUUGUGAAUUUGUAUGAGACAACUUUGUUUCUCUGAAAUUUAGAGAGCCUCUUUAAUAUUGCAUGGUAGUUUUUUUAUACGAUAUACAAGUAUAUCCAGUUUUAUUUGGAUAUUUUUUAGCAACAAUGCUUUUGGAAUAGGAUUUGUUUGAGCGCUACCAUGAGAAAGUUCAACUUGAAACGACAACAACUCAUAAUAGCCUAAUUCCUUCUAUAUGAGGUUUCACCUUUUAUUUAACUUCUAAGGACUUGAUUACCAACAUUAGGAUUGAAUUGUGAUUUGUUUUUCUACAGUGGUUUAUGAUUGUCUUCAAACAAUGUUUGGAUCUCAUCGAGCCAGUUGGUUUCUGAGUUAAGAAUUUUUCUAAUAUUUUCUAAAAUUCCUCCCCUGAAACAAGUGUUUUUAGUUUUCUUGAAUUUUUGCUCUUUACAGAUAAGACAAGCAAUGGAUGUGUGACGACAUGUAGAAACAUGGGGAUCAAUUAAAGCCUUAGUUUGUCUUAAUUGGUGACUAGUUAUUUGAAUGCAGUUUUAUAUGUGGUGACAAUGAUCUAUCAAAAUAAAAAAAUUGGUUUAGGAUUUCCUCUCUAUUUGAUAUUUUCAGAUUUGAUCACCAAAUAUAAGGAUUUUCUGUUGCCAUUUGUUUCUCUGCAGUGAUGUUUGCAUUAUGGCUUUACAAGUCUUUCAGAGGAUCAGUAGUUUCAGAGGUGAAUUGUGUGUUGCAGUGUAAAUUGUUCAAGUUUAUUUAUUUGCAAAAGGGAUCAAUUCUCCAUUCAUUUUUGCAGAAGAUUAGAUGGCUAACAUUAUUGUUCGUUCAUUUGAUCCAGUAAGAGCUCAUUCUAGAAAUGUGGACUUCUCUUUAAAAGCCUUUGGUAUUUUAACUAUCUUCAAAAGAUAUUUUUUCUGGAUCUAUUGUUUUGACAGAGCAGGUCUUCGAGGAAGACACGAGUGUUGUUGAUUUUUAGAUUUGGAAUUGUUCAAGUACCAACAACAUGAUUUCAUGAUCUCUUAUGAUUUCCCCUGAAUUCUUGGUUGUUGUUUUGCCAGGGUAGGGUCUGGGUAGAUUUGGGUUUUUGGAUUCGGAAUUGUCCAACUACCAACAAUGUGUGUACAGGUUUGAAAUAGAUGAUGUGUUUGUCAGAUAUUUUCUAGGGAUAUAUAUAUAUAUAUAUAUAUAUAUAUAUAUAUAUUUAGUUGCUAGUUUUAUUUUUCAUUCAAUUACUUAAUUGCUUUAUUACUAUGAUCAUUUGAUUAUAAAAUUAUUCUUGGUAGUUAUAUAAUUAUUCAUGGUUGUUAGAUUACCUUUAAUAGUUACUGUUGUUGGAAAUAUAAUCUAGAAGUCCUUUGUUGGCUAAUGAUUCUCUAACAUUUUUUUUAAUUUUAUGGUAGUUGUAUUUUGCUUUGACAAUUUAGUUUAGUUUUUUUUAUUAACUCUGAUUGUUUCCAGCAUCGACACAUGAAUUUUGAACUUGUUCUUGCAUAAUUUAUCAUGGGAGAAAAUGAAUUGGUGGUGUAGGUUUGGGAAACAGUGGAUCAAGACCCUAUGGAAAUUUGGGUUUUAUUCUGUGUUUAUUAUUUUCUUUGCUGCUAUUAUUCACGGAUAAACUUGUGGACUGGGAAUGCUUACCUCUUUAUGACAGGCACUGUAAAUGUCUGUGUCAGCCAUUUAAUUUUCUCUUUCUAGUCCGCACUCAGACAUUUCUUUCAGCAACCAGUCAUUUAAUCGGAAAGAGAGUUUUGUUUCCUUUCAUGUUCUUUGUUGUCAAAACAACCUUUGUUUCUUUCUUAUCAGCUAUAGUAUUUAAUUCACUGCGAUCUCAGGAUGUGUUAUUUGGAAGUGAUGUGGUUAUUCAUUCGAGGAUUGAUGUGUUAUUUGGAAGUGAGGUGGUUAUUCAUUCGAGGAUUGAGUUUCAUUCCCUUUGACUUGCAUUUUUUUGUGUUCAUAGCUAUCAAACAACUUUCUUCCUUUGAAAUGUAUGGAGUCUAUUUUUUUAAGAUGAAAUCCCCUCUAAAUGUUAAUGUUUUAUUUUUUUUCUUUCUUUUUCAUCAUUUCCUAGUUAUUUGUGUUUCUCAUAGGCUUGGUCUCAUCCCUUC
rnacentral:lncRNA from 1 species